rnacentral:rRNA from 1 species
GACAGAGGGGGCAAGCGUUGCUCGGAAUUACUGGGCGUAAAGGGCGCGUAGGCGGCCUGCUAAGUCGGACGUGAAAUCCCUCGGCUCAACCGGGGAACUGCGUCCGAUACUGGUGGGCUCGAAUCCGGGAGAGGGAUGUGGAAUUCCAGGUGUAGCGGUGAAAUGCGUAGAUAUCUGGAGGAACACCGGUGGCGAAGGCGGCAUCCUGGACCGGUAUUGACGCUGAUGCGCGAAAGCCAGGGGAGCAAACGGG